CCCGCAGCAAAGUGACCAAGGAUGGGCGUCCUGCCAGCCCCAAGCGGGACAGGGACGUGAGGACAGAUCCCGGCACGGCUCUGGGGCCAGGCCAGGCUGGCACGGGAUGCAGCCGGAGGAACGAGGAACCCCUGGUGGUGGCACAUGGCCAGGGGCCUUGGGGACACCGUGGCGCUGGGGAUGGCACCAGCAGGAGAAGCGGCACCAAGGCUGGUGCCCCGCGUCCUGAGAGCUGUGCCCUGGGGAGCAGAGCAGCGAUGGGGGCUGGCAGUGGCGGGGAGCAGGGAUGGGCACGGGUGGGGGGCCAGGGGUCUGUACCCAGCUGUGCUUGGCCCCACGCAGCAGUGAGCAAGGAGGCGAGCGCAGCCCUGGGCAUGGGCAGCGCCUGGCACAAAUCACUGCAGGGGCUCCUGAAGCCCCUCAUCCAUGGGCAGCAGGGCUGGGGUGCACGGCACAGCCCCACCCGCUGCAGUUUUGGGCACCCACCAGCACCCCCGGCAGGAUUGGGAGCUCCCAAGUGGGCAGCAUUUGGGGAGGACCCGCACCCCUCACAUGCAGCCACAUGGAUCACCCCCAGCCGCGCUCCCCCACCGCAGACCCCUCCGUCUGGCCCAGGAGUGACGGGGCCCGGAGCCGGGGCACCGCGCACCCCGCUCCACCCGGCUUCCCCCCCCCGGGGCAGGGACGGCGACAGCAGCUGUCACGUCACCGCCAGCACCGCGUCACCUCCGCAGCUGCGCCAGACCCCAGGGCAGGGUCCCCACCCGGCAGCCCCCAGGCUCCCCCGGCAGGGCAGGGAGAGGCAGGGACGCAGCACCGCGGCAGCAGCCGGCCCCCUGCAUGCAAAUCCCCACGCAGCGCUGCUCCCUCUGAGGCGCCACGGAGGGGGCAUGGAGCUGGGGACACCCCCCCCGUGGUGGCUCCCAGCCCGGGGUGCCCCCAGCCCUGCCCAUGCUGGGCACAGCAGAGGGGACAGCACGGAGCUGUGGGGACAGGACGGGACAAUGCGCACGAUGCCAGGAGCACAGCACCCACACUGCAGCCACCAGCAGCGGCUUCCCCAUGCGCAGCCCCCUCAGCCUCCCCAUGCAGCCACCUCCUGUCCCACGCAGCCACCAGAACCAGCCCACGGUCCCCCCGGGCAGCACCAUGUCCCCACGUUGGUGGCACAGGGACAGCUUGGGGACGUGCUCGCAUUCCUGGGCCGGAGCAUCCCCCCAGUCCCCCCAGCCCCCCCGGCCCCCCUGCCCAGUGACUGCAGCAUGCCGGGAAGUGCCGAGUCAGCGCCCGCCGCAGCGACCCGCUGCGCUGUGACAGCACAGCCAGCUCCGGCUGCUCCCUCCUGCCGGGGACACCGGGCACGGUGCCGGACCCCUCCCCACCUCCCCCCAACCCAUGGCCGGGGGUCCAGGCAGGCUGCAGCCCCACGGCGCUGUGGGGCAGGCGGGUGGGCAGCGGGGGCUCCGGCCGGCAGCCCCUGGCCCCCAGCCCGGUGCCGGUGCCCC
rnacentral:lncRNA from 1 species